AGUCUCCAGGUAGGAACUGGAAGAAGAGGAGGAUUUUGGUCUUCCUCUUCUCCCUCUUCUUCUCUGGAAGCG